GACGAACGCUGGCGGCGUGCCUAACACAUGCAAGUCGAGCGGAGAUAGACUGAUGGUAACUGAUGUCUAUCUUAGCGGCGGACGGGUGAGUAACACGUGGGCAACCUGCCUCAAAGAGGGGGAUAACACCGAGAAAUCGGUGCUAAUACCGCAUAACAUACAGACACUGCAUGGUGACUGUACUAAAGGAGCAAUCCGCUUUGAGAUGGGCCCGCGGCUGAUUAGCUAGUUGGUGAGGUAAUGGCUCACCAAGGCGACGAUCAGUAGCCGACCUGAGAGGGUGACCGGCCACACUGGAACUGAGACACGGUCCAGACUCCUACGGGAGGCAGCAGUGGGGAAUAUUGCGCAAUGGGGGAAACCCUGACGCAACAACGCCGCGUGGAGGAAGAAGGUCUUCGGAUUGUAAACUCCUGUCUUCUGGGACGAUAAUGACGGUACCAGAGGAGGAAGCCACGGCUAACUACGUGCCAGCAGCCGCCGUAAAAC
rnacentral:rRNA from 1 species